rnacentral:lncRNA from 1 species
GCGCGGCAGCCGACGGGAGGGCAGGGGCUGCGACACUGUCGUAAAAGCGCGAUGCCACACUGCCGUCAAGCGAGGUGCGCUGUCGUGAACCGUGCUAGGGAGCGCGUGUGCGUGGAGUCGUGCAAGUUCUGUGCCUUAGGGCUCAGUGUGAGAGAGAAGCUCGGUGCUUCGUUUCCAUGAGUGCAUAAAGCGGUGUAAUGCAAUCGUUACACUGAAGGCUGCUGAUGGGGCUGUGGCGUUGCUUGAGGAAAUCUGAUGGGGUAUCCUGAGCCCACAGAGCUCUGACUUGGCCGUGCAAAUUCUGGCAUGUUGCUUCAUAGCCUGUAUUUCUUCUGUCCUGCAAAUCCACGAUGCAAGCGAAACGCCUGCAGAUCCAUCCUGUUCUUCCGUUUCACCUUCAGAUAUCCCCUGUGAGAAGCAGUGGAUUUGGCUGCAGAUGCAGAGCCAUGUUGUGCCAUGUUGCUGCUUUCUUCAUCGAGUCUUUUCUGGACCUGCAGUUCUAUCCAGCAGCGUGAUCAGGGCUCGGCAGCAACACAGGCUUAUCUGACCUUCCUUUGUGAGCUACCUGUUUGCAAUGCUGACUUUUUGAAAGGCAUAAGACAAUGAAAGCUGCGGUAUUUGAAGCCUGAUUGAAGGACCUUCCCUCUGUCUCAGGGAGACUUCAUUUGGAUUUCUUGGAGGAGCAGCUUCUUGCUUUGAACUUUGACUAUUUACAAAAUGAUGCAUUUCAAGUUUACAUAGAAAUGGAUAGCUUAGAUGGAAGCUGAUAAGAGUUGCUUUCAUGUUUAGCAUCCUGUGGACUUCUAGGUCAGAGAAGCAAUAAGUAUGAAUCAGUAAUCUUGUACAAGUUUCAAAAUAGCAUACAUUAAGUGUGCUAAGAAAACUGGGAGUGGGGAGGGAGCCGGUUUUGGGUAUGUGGUGGUGCUGUGAGUCAACUCCAGCUUUUCUCUGCAUUGCCACAAACACAGGAGUUGUAGGUGGGUGUGAUGGGACAAGCCUGAGCCUGGGACUUAAAUGGCUUAUGGGAACCUUGUCUUGAAAAAACAUCAAUAAAGUGACCAAAAAAUGAUUUUUAAAUUUGAGU